rfam:Cavia porcellus supercont2_27 genomic scaffold, whole genome shotgun sequence.
AUCCUUGAUACUCAGGUUCAUAAACAUGAUGAUUAGGUAUUCAUGCUCCAUGCAUGACAUGUGCCUGCUUUGAACCUUGUUAUGACACUGUCUGAUG